rnacentral:lncRNA from 1 species
AUCACUUCCCCCCACACACACAUAUAAAAUAGUUAGGAGAGCAGAGAAACAAAGCAGUCUUUGGAUUUGGUUGUUGCUGUUGAAAUCGCUGCCAAACCUUCAGGAAUAGCUUCUACGUGUAGGAACUGUCAGGAAAUCAAUUCCCAUUUUUUAUAAAUUGGGUAAUCAAGCUGAAUCCUGAUGAAACCAAAGACUAAAAAAAAAAAUCCUCUCAUGAUUUUCAUUUCAGUUUAUCUGGUGGUGCUCUGGUCCUUCAGUGUUCUCAGAGAACUAUGUUAGUUGGCCUGAAACAAACCAACUAACACAACCCUAUAUUGCUAAUUACCUAUAAACUGAUACCACCCAGGAAUGAAUGAGAGGGAGUAGAAAGAAAAACACACUGGGUUCAGUGUGGGAGACCCACAUCAUCAUGACAUGCAUCUUCUCUGAGAAGCCUAUCAGUGUUAACACCUGUUAAAUGGGGCAUAAUAGAAUGGACACGGGUUGUUUUUCUUUUCCCAUCAUCUGUUUCUGAUUUUGUAACAGAAACAUGCCCCACACUCUCAGGCCAGGAGGUUCAGGUUCUCACUCACUUCCCCUCCACCCAUGGCAGCGUUCCCAUCCUAAGACCACAAUUAUUGGUUCAGGAUGAGCACAUGGUAGUGUAAUUAGAAUGAACUCUGGCAUGUUAUUGUCAUGGAAAGGAGAUGACUGCUGGAGGCACUCUUGCUAGCCGGUAUGCUGGAGGCCAUCUUGACAUGGGUUGGGAAGAGCAGUUGCAAGAAGCAACAUAAGGAGGCAGUACAGAGUAACGAGUUUGUUGUUCAGAUCAUCAUUAAGGGCAAUGGAUCCAACUGUGACUGAAGCCAGAUGGAUCUAACUCUAGAACUUUCUGUUAUCUGAACCAAUAAUGCAUUCUUUUCUUUUGACUUAAAUCUAUUUGAUUUAGGCUUCUUGUAGCCAGAAGAUUCCUAACUACUACAACUAAGUUGACCUACCAAUAUGAAUAAUAUUUUUGAAACAUAAAACCUAAAAUCUUUGACUUUCAAAAUACAUUUGCAUUUUUAUUUAAGUCAAUGAGGACAUUUAAAAAAUACUUUUCCUCUGUCAUAGGCCCUCAAGGACGCGAGAACAUCAAAAUCAACAAAAUAAGUCAAGUUACAACAGAGGUUAUAGGCAAGUAGGGCCACAGACAUGUAUUAAACAGUAAUAGGAUACGCUGCAAAGGGUCAAAACUGUGGACUCUACAAAAUGCAGAGAUAUCGGGUAACACAACUCAAGAGGGCAUUAUUAAUACUGUAGUUUAUGUAAAUGUCACACAGGAAAACCCUAGUCUAGCUACAACUCUGCCAGCUGGUGGAAGGGUCAGCGAAACCAACACUUGCCCUAGUAAGUGUUUUCAAUCACGAUAAUGGUUCUUGGCUGUUUUAUUUUUUAAUAAACUGAUUACUGCCCAUUGUAUUUGAGUUUUUAGGCGGAGUUUCUGGCAGAGAGCAGGUACCAUAGGUUUAUCAUGACAGAAAACAGACACAAAUAAUACUGGUGUUGCUUGGUUAUGGUACCAUUUGUUAGUGAUCAACCAGCUUAGGCACCAUUAAAUCAAGUAUCUGCAAGCACAAAAUAUUGCAUCUGAGGAUUAUAGAUAUCUUUGGGCAGUGGGAUGUUCAUUGAAAAUCAGAUUAAUGAUUUGGCAAAACAAGUGGAGUUUUUAGGACUCAAAGGUCAUUUAUAACAACAUAUUUUAACAUUGUUGCCUCAGUGAUCAUACUUCUUUUUAAGUGGCAA